AUAUGAAAUAUAUUCAUCUCUUUGAGAGUUUAGGAGAGUUCUCCUUAAGUUCUACCAAGAAAUUUUCUUGAUUGCUUCAAGGAUAGUUUUUUUUUUUAAGUAGUCUUCUAUCUUAGGUGAUAGGUUAGGUUACUUGAUUGUUGCUAUUGAGGUUAUGGAUUUAAUAUAUCCAUGGUUGCUUGCCCUUCUAAUCUUGGGGUCUAAUCUCCAUUUAAGUUUCAUAAUUUUAUCCUUUAUCCUAUGUCACUUCCUAUCAUAUUUACGUUAUAUAUCUUUUGAUCUUUGGGUUCCGCAUUAUUUGGUAUCAGA
rnacentral:lncRNA from 1 species